ensembl:processed_transcript Gm16759 predicted gene, 16759
UUAAACUUCAGAGCCACUUGGACUGGGUUUAUAGCACAAAGCUGUCCUGUGAUCAGAGGUCAGAAGAGGGCUUCUGAUCCACUGGCGCUGAACUGAUACAUGCUUCUGAGCCUUGAUAUGGGCGCUGGGAACUGAACCUGGGUCCUCUACAAGAACAAGUGAGCUUAACUGCCAAGCCAACUCUCCAGCACACAAAACUAGUUCCCUUAACCUUUGUGUUUAUUUGUACAUGACCAUCAUAUACGUCCAGACCAGUAAAAAACUACAAUCUAUUUUAUUAAAAACAAAACUAACUUGUAAGAAACUCAACUGUACACACCCAUGUGCUCAGUGUGCACACACAUGUGCACACAUUACUCUCCUGGUGGGUUAAUGCUUUGUCAUUUGGUAUCUAACUUAAUAAACACGUUCUUCUUUGCUGCACUUU